rnacentral:rRNA from 1 species
UACGGGGGGGGGUAAGCGUUGUUCGGAAUUACUGGGCGUAAAGGCUCGUAGGCGGCCAACUAAGUCAGACGUGAAAUCCCUCGGCUUAACCGGGGAACUGCAUCUGAUACUGGAUGGCUUGAGUUCGGGAGAGGGAUGCGGAAUUCCAGGUGUAGCGGUGAAAUGCGUAGAUAUCUGGAGGAACACCGGUGGCGAAGGCGGCAUCCUGGACCGGCAUUGACGCUGAGGCGCGAAAGCUGGGGGGAGCGAACAGG